CACACACACACACACACACCACAUGUCCCCUGCACUGGGUAACAAUGUAAGCUGUGGCACCUAGCUUUUCCCUUAGCUACUGCAGACCCAAGCUCAGCUCCUCAUGUUUGAGUGGCAAGCACUUUGCCCACUGCCCCACUGCCCAUUCGUCUCAUGGUCAGCAAGCUCUGUGACUCCAACUCUGUAAAAGUCUGUCCAUUUGAGGACUCUGGAGAACUUGCCCAAGUCUCAGAAAGCACAGAGCCACAGAAGAGGAGAGACAUCUAGAUUCUCAUUUUUAUGUAAGUCUCCUUACAUAGCCUAGGCUGGCCUGAAUCUAGAGUUUCAGACAGCUGCCACAUGGAAGCUGGGAACCAAACCUAGAUCCUCUAUUGGGAUAGCAAGUGUUCCUAACCAUUCAGUUGUCUCUCCAGUCUACCAUAUACAAAUGAAAGAGACAGAGACAGAGACAGAGACAGAGACAGAGUCAGAGACAGAGACAGAGACAGAGACAGGCAGAGGGAGGGGGUUGGUGAGAGGGAGAGAGAAACUAGUUGCAAAAGCAACGGUUUGAGAAAAGUCACUCAGUAUCCCAGAUGGAAUCAUUUGCCCAUUCUGUGGACUGUGUUUAUGUUUUGUGUGUGUCCGAUCUGAUGACAGUCCUGGUUGUGUCCUGAUCCUCACUGGUACAGAAUGUUCCGUGUGUGCCUUGUGCAGUGGUUUGUGAGGCCUCCUGUGAAUGUCAGUUCAGCUCCUGGCAGCACCAACAUCUAACUGGCAUUGGUAGGCCAGCUUCUAGGUCUUGGGGUCGGCUUCUCCUUUUCACAGAAGAAAAGUGGAACGGGGUGGGGUGGGAGGUGUCUCAGGAGUCAGGCUCCUUGGCUGUCUCCUCUAUCCCUAGAAGACCUCGGAAAAUAGAGACCUCAGGCUCUCUAGGCCCAGGACCUGGCAGCCCAGACUCCCGGAUGGAGUUUUGUCUGUCAGUGCCUAUGAAUGGGUACUCACAGGCUUUGGGAAGAAGGACAACAGAGAGCACAGUGGCAGGUGGAGUCAGAACACUUUCCUCCCCCUGAGACAAGGUUUCUCUGUGUAGCCUUGGCUGUCCUGAAACUUACUUUGUAGACCAGGCUGGCCCCAAACUCACAAAGAUCUACCUGCCUCUACCUCGGAGUGUUGAGAUUAAAGACUCAGGACGAGGCUGGCCUUGAUUUCACAGUUCUCAUGCUUCAGCUUCCUAAGUGCUGUGAGGGCAUCUGACUGUGACAGCUGUCACUCCACUGAUUGAUUACCAGAGUUGACUCAAGCUGACCUAGCUGGCCAGGUAUGACCAGCCAAAGCUCCCAGUCCUGUACCUGCUGAGGACUCAGCUGAUCUGGAGUCUAAAGGGAGCAACAGUCCAGUUCUGGAGCUCUGGCUCAAGGCUGCGCGUGAGAACUGCAUGCUGGACUUGGCAUAGAACUGGGUGACAGCAUGCCCUGUGCGCGUGGCGUGAACUGUGACUGUUGGCUCUGGAAACAGAAUAAAGGCUCCUGGGUUCACCAAGAAAA